UACAGAGACUGCAAGCGUUAUUCGGAUUCACUGGGCGUAAAGGGUGCGCAGGCGGUUGUGUGUGUCAGGUGUGAAAGCCCGGGGCUUAACCCCGGAAUUGCGCCUGAAACUACAUGACUAGAGCAUUGGAGAGGGUAGCGGAAUUCACGGUGUAGCAGUGAAAUGCGUAGAUAUCGUGAGGAACACCAGAGGCGAAGGCGGCUACCUGGACAAUUGCUGACGCUCAGGCACGAAAGCGUGGGGGAGCAAAAAGGG
rnacentral:rRNA from 1 species